GGCUCAGGACGAACGCUGGCGGCGUGCUUAACACAUGCAAGUCGAACGAUGAUGCCCAGCUUGCUGGGCGGAUUAGUGGCGAACGGGUGAGUAACACGUGGGUGAUCUGCCCUGCACUUCGGGAUAAGCCUGGGAAACUGGGUCUAAUACCGGAUAUGACCACAGGAUGCAUGUUUUGUGGUGGAAAGGUUUACUGGUGCAGGAUGAGCCCGCGGCCUAUCAGCUUGUUGGUGGGGUAAUGGCCUACCAAGGCGACGACGGGUAGCCGGCCUGAGAGGGCGACCGGCCACACUGGGACUGAGACACGGCCCAGACUCCUACGGGAGGCAGCAGUGGGGAAUAUUGCACAAUGGGCGAAAGCCUGAUGCAGCGACGCCGCGUGAGGGAUGACGGCCUUCGGGUUGUAAACCUCUUUCAGCAGGGACGAAGCGCAAGUGACUGUACCUGCAGAAGAAGCACCGGCUAACUACGUGCCAGCAGCCGCGGUAAUACGUAGGGUGCGAGCGUUGUCCGGAAUUACUGGGCGUAAAGAGUUCGUAGGCGGUUUGUCGCGUCGUGUGUGAAAUCCCGCAGCUCAACUGCGGGCUUGCAGGCGAUACGGGCAGACUUGAGUACUGCAGGGGAGACUGGAAUUCCUGGUGUAGCGGUGAAAUGCGCAGAUAUCAGGAGGAACACCGGUGGCGAAGGCGGGUCUCUGGGCAGUAACUGACGCUGAGGAACGAAAGCGUGGGUAGCGAACAGGAUUAGAUACCCUGGUAGUCCACGCCGUAAACGGUGGGCGCUAGGUGUGGGUUUCCUUCCACGGGAUCCGUGCCGUAGCUAACGCAUUAAGCG
rnacentral:rRNA from 1 species